rnacentral:rRNA from 1 species
AUCGGAACGUACCUUUCAGUGGGGGAUAACGUAGCGAAAGUUACGCUAAUACCGCAUAUUCUGUGAGCAGGAAAGCAGGGGACCUUCGGGCCUUGCGCUGAUUGAGCGGCCGAUAUCAGAUUAGCUAGUUGGUGAGGUAAAGGCUCACCAAGGCGACGAUCUGUAGCGGGUCUGAGAGGAUGAUCCGCCACACUGGAACUGAGACACGGUCCAGACUCCUACGGGAGGCAGCAGUGGGGAAUUUUGGACAAUGGGGGCAACCCUGAUCCAGCCAUGCCGCGUGAGUGAAGAAGGCCUUCGGGUUGUAAAGCUCUUUCGGCCGGGAAGAAAUCGCAUCAGCUAAUACCUGGUGUGGAUGACGGUACCGGAAUAAGAAGCACCGGCUAACUACGUGCCAGCAGCCGCGGUAAUACGUAGGGUGCGAGCGUUAAUCGGAAUUACUGGGCGUAAAGCGUGCGCAGGCGGUUUGUUAAGAUAGGCGUGAAAUCCCCGGGCUCAACCUGGGAACUGCGUUUAUGACUGGCAGGCUAGAGUAUGGCAGAGGGGGGUGGAAUUCCACGUGUAGCAGUGAAAUGCGUAGAGAUGUGGAGGAACACCGAUGGCGAAGGCAGCCCCCUGGGCCAAUACUGACGCUCAUGCACGAAAGCGUGGGUAGCAAACAGGAUUAGAUACCCUGGUAGUCCACGCCCUAAACGAUGUCAACUAGGUGUUGGGUGGGUAAAACCAUUUAGUACCGGAGCUAACGCGUGAAGUUGACCGCCUGGGGAGUACGGCCGCAAGGUUAAAACUCAAAGGAAUUGACGGGGACCCGCACAAGCGGUGGAUGAUGUGGAUUAAUUCGAUGCAACGCGAAAAACCUUACCUACCCUUGACAUGGCAGGAAUCCCUGAGAGAUCAGGGAGUGCUCGAAAGAGAACCUGCACACAGGUGCUGCAUGGCUGUCGUCAGCUCGUGUCGUGAGAUGUUGGGUUAAGUCCCGCAACGAGCGCAACCCUUGUCAUUAGUUGCUACGAAAGGGCACUCUAAUGAGACUGCCGGUGACAAACCGGAGGAAGGUGGGGAUGACGUCAAGUCCUCAUGGCCCUUAUGGGUAGGGCUUCACACGUCAUACAAUGGUACAUACAGAGGGCCGCCAACCCGCGAGGGGGAGCUAAUCCCAGAAAGUGUAUCGUAGUCCGGAUUGUAGUCUGCAACUCGACUACAUGAAGUUGGAAUCGCUAGUAAUCGCGGAUCAGCAUGUCGCGGUGAAUACGUUCCCGGGUCUUGUACACACCGCCCGUCACACCAUGGGAGCGGGUUUCACCAGAAGUAGGUAGCUUAACCGCAAGGAGGGCGCUUACCACGGUGGGAUUCGUGACUGGGGUGAAGUCGUAACAAGGUAACCA